AGAAAAAGAAAUGCGCCUAUAUAAAUUUGCCUUCCUAGACGGAGCUUGGAUUUUCCAAAAUGGAACCAUAGGGCAUUCAUGGCAGGAUAAAAAUAAAAAGAGCGUGAGAAGGAUUAAAGGUGAUGGUAAGAGAUAUAUGGUACUCCAUGCGGGAAAUAAAGAUGGAUUUAUUGAAAACGCAGAUCUUAUUUUUUCCUCAAAAAGUUAAAUGCUCUUAAAAAAAAACACCAAACAGUUCUUGGACAAAAACAACUAUUCAGGAGUGGCUAAUUAACGAGAAUAUAGAGUUUUCGAACAAUAUGUUUAAAAGUGAACUUUAAAGAAUUGUUGCAAGAAAUAAACCAUAGCGAAAAUAUCUAAUAGAUGAUCUGGCUGAGCAAUUUGGUCAUAAAUUUCUUCACCUGCCACUGUAUGUUUAACCCAAUCGAACAUAUAUGAGGCAUAUCAAAAUCCUAUUACAAUAAGCACAUUGGCAGGGAUGGCAAUUCACACCAGGACUGCUUAAACAAGUGGCAUGAAGCACUACAAACCAUAACACUUAAUAUAUGGAAAAAUACAAUCACACAUACGGAAAAGGAAAUUUUAAAAUGGUACGAGAGGGAUCAAAUAAUGGAUCGACAAGAUGUUCUUCCUCUUAUAAUUCAUAUUGGAAAUGAUGAUAGUAGUUCCGACACAGAAUCAGAUCAGGAGUAAUACUUUCUAAACAAAAAAUAUAAUUUUCGUAAUAUUAUAUAUCAUUUUAAUAUAUUUUAUAUUUGU